rnacentral:rRNA from 1 species
GACGAACGCUGGCGGCGUGCCUAAUACAUGCAAGUAGAACGCUGAAGGAGGAGCUUGCUUCUCCGGAUGAGUUGCGAACGGGUGAGUAACGCGUAGGUAACCUGCCUGGUAGCGGGGGAUAACUAUUGGAAACGAUAGCUAAUACCGCAUAACAGUAGAUAUUGCAUGAUAUCUGCUUGAAAGGUGCAAUUGCAUCACUACCAGAUGGACCUGCGUUGUAUUAGCUAGUUGGUGGGGUAACGGCUCACCAAGGCGACGAUACAUAGCCGACCUGAGAGGGUGAUCGGCCACACUGGGACUGAGACACGGCCCAGACUCCUACGGGAGGCAGCAGUAGGGAAUCUUCGGCAAUGGACGGAAGUCUGACCGAGCAACGCCGCGUGAGUGAAGAAGGUUUUCGGAUCGUAAAGCUCUGUUGUAAGAGAAGAACGAGUGUGAGAGUGGAAAGUUCACACUGUGACGGUAUCUUACCAGAAAGGGACGGCUAACUACGUGCCAGCAGCCGCGGUAAUACGUAGGUCCCGAGCGUUGUCCGGAUUUAUUGGGCGUAAAGCGAGCGCAGGCGGUUAGAUAAGUCUGAAGUUAAAGGCUGUGGCUUAACCAUAGUACGCUUUGGAAACUGUUUAACUUGAGUGCAAGAGGGGAGAGUGGAAUUCCAUGUGUAACGGUGAAAUGCGUAGAUAUAUGGAGGAACACCGGUGGCGAAAGCGGCUCUCUGGCUUGUAACUGACGCUGAGGCUCGAAAGCGUGGGGAGCAAACAGG